rnacentral:snRNA from 1 species
GGAUGACCUGGCUGUGACCUCUAUCACUCCAUUGAUCAUGAGGAUUGACUUAGCUCAUCUGACUGGUUCCGAUGAGUGUCCCUCCAUUGCCACCACAUUUGGUCCCUCCCAAAGCUGUGGCUUCUAUCUUCCCUGAUAGAAGAGGACCAUUCUUCAGCUAAGGCUUUAGAGUAGUCAUGGCUCUAACUAGAACCUCCAAACAGGCCCUCAAGACACAGAUAUGCAACUCCUGAUUAUCUUCAGGAGACACUUGGUCAAGGAGGCUCCAAUUUCACCUGCAGCUGGGCAGCCCAGGCU